GGGGUGGUACAAGUUAUUCGCUCCGCAAACUGUUCGACUUACAAUCUGUUCGCUUGACAAUCUGUGCGCACUAGUAGAUAAAGGUCACGUGAUGGCAUUUUGUGCGCACGAUACUUUGAGUGACGUCAUCGACUGUAGCGCUACCUACUGCUUUAAUAUUUUUAUUAUUACCAGCUUCGUCUCUCUAAUAAUAAUUCUAUAUAUUACUAUCUAAUCUUAUAGCAAGAUUUUGACGGCAUUGAAUAAUUUUCUAACCUAAACUAAUAUUCUCAUUUUUGAUUAGUUUAGAAUUUGAAAAUUAAAUCUAAAGUACCAUAUUCUAUUUUCUGUACAGUUUUCUCAGACUUUAUUGAUAGGAAUACCCUUAUCCGAAAUUAUUUUACCAAUUUAUUGACAAGAAUAAGUUAAUCUUAAAUCAUUUGAGCAUCAGCUACAGUAAUAAUAAGCAAGCAACCAACAUUUCCUGGUUUAACUGCGGAGGGGUUGGUGUGUGGCUCCUUAGCAUCGGGACUGAAGCGGCGGAUGCUCUACUUUUUUCGCCCUAUAUUCAAAAAGUUAGAUCUUCCAUUUUUGGUUCUCUUUUUUCCAAAUUUUCCAUUUUUCUUUAAUUUCUUUUCUCGUUUGCUUUAAUUUAUAAAAUUAAUUGUUUUAUUUAUAAAAAUAUUCCUUGUAUUUGGUAAUAAAUUAAUUAUCAUAAACCCCUGAUUGCUGUCGGAUAGAAUUCUCAAUAAAGCGUUUUUCAUCAAAAUCAACCCAAACUUUCACUUGAAGUAUAUAUAUUUUAUUUUUUAAAUUUUAAUUUACGUAUUAUAUUUUGUCAAUUACCUACCGUAUAUAAAAUUGAAUUAUUUUCUCCAUAUUAUAAUGAUGUGAUACAUAAUUAUUAUGAAAUGAAUAUUGUUUGUUUUAUGCGACUCCUCCCCGCACACGGACCUGUCAUCCAAGCGGGGAGCCAAUUCAUAUGUAUUUAUGUAAAUGUAUUUAUGUAAAUUGUAUAGUAUUUUAAAUGAAUAAAUACAUUUGAUUUGAUUUUGACGAUA